GACGAACGCUGGCGGCGUGCCUAAUACAUGCAAGUCGAGCGAAGUUUUUCUGGUGCUUGCACCGGAAAAACUUAGCGGCGAACGGGUGAGUAACACGUAAAGAACCUGCCUCAUAGACUGGGACAACUAUUGGAAACGAUAGCUAAUACCGGAUAACAGCAUUAACUGCAUGGUUGAUGUUUAAAAGUUGGUUUUGCUAACACUAUGAGAUGGCUUUGCGGUGCAUUAGCUAGUUGGUGGGGUAAAGGCCUACCAAGGCGACGAUGCAUAGCCGACCCGAGAGGGUGAUCGGCCACACUGGGACUGAGACACGGCCCAGACUCCUACGGGAGGCAGCAGUAGGGAAUCUUCCGCAAUGGGCGAAAGCCUGACGGAGCAACGCCGCGUGAGUGAAGAAGGAUUUCGGUUCGUAAAGCUCUGUUGUUAGGGAAGAAUGAUUGUGUAAUAACUAUACACAGUAGAGACGGUACCUAACCAGAAAGCCACGGCUAACUACGUG
rnacentral:rRNA from 1 species